rnacentral:rRNA from 1 species
UACAGAGGUCUCAAGCGUUGUUCGGAUUCAUUGGGCGUAAAGGGUGCGUAGGCGGCGUGGUAAGUCGGGUGUGAAAACUCGAGGCUUAACCUCGAGAUGUCAUCGGAAACCAUUUGGCUAGAGUCCGGAAGAGGAGAGUGGAAUUCCUGGUGUAGCGGUGAAAUGCGCAGAUAUCAGGAAGAACACCAAUGGCGAAAGCAGCUCUCUGGGACGGUACUGACGCUGAGACGCGAAAACGUGGGGAGCGAACAGG